rnacentral:rRNA from 1 species
ACGACAGUCGGAGAAAUCCGGAGUUUUCUUGGACUUGCAGGAUACUACCGGAGAUUCAUCGAGAAUUUCUCAAAGAUUGCUAAGCCCAUGACUGAGCUAUUGAAGAAGGACACCAAAUUCAAUUGGACUGAGGAAUGUGAAGCUAGUUUCCAAGAGUUGAAGAAACGAUUGGUUACAUCAACAGUGUUGAUUCUGCCAGAUCAACGCAAGGAUUACGAAGUUUAUUGUGACGCUUCUCGUCGAGGACUUGGAGCAGUGCUUAUGCAGGAAGGAAGAGUUGUGUCAUAUGCUUCACGACAACUUAAACCCCAUGAGAAGAAUUAUGCUACGCUUGAUUUGGAGUUAGCA